GUGAACCUGCGGAGGGAUCAUUACACAAAUAUGAAGGCGGGCUGGAACCUCUCGGGGUUACAGCCUUGCUGAAUUAUUCACCCUUGUCUUUUGCGUACUUCUUGUUUCCUUGGUGGGUUCGCCCACCACUAGGACAAACAUAAACCUUUUGUAAUUGCAAUCAGCGUCAGUAACAAAUUAAUAAUUACAACUUUCAACAACGGAUCUCUUGGUUCUGGCAUCGAUGAAGAACGCAGCGAAAUGCGAUAAGUAGUGUGAAUUGCAGAAUUCAGUGAAUCAUCGAAUCUUUGAACGCACAUUGCGCCCUUUGGUAUUCCAAAGGGCAUGCCUGUUCGAGCGUCAUUUGUACCCUCAAGCUUUGCUUGGUGUUGGGCGUCUUGUCUCUAGCUUUGCUGGAGACUCGCCUUAAAGUAAUUGGCAGCCGGCCUACUGGUUUCGGAGCGCAGCACAAGUCGCACUCUCUAUCAGCAAAGGUCUAGCAUCCAUUAAGCCUUUUUUCAACU
rnacentral:rRNA from 1 species